rnacentral:rRNA from 1 species
AGGACGCUUUGCCCGGGGCCUUGGAUGGUGCUAGGAGACUUCAACAUGAUUUUACAUGCCUUGGAAAAAAACAACACCAACCUCAACAGAAGAAUGAUGGCCAAGUUUUGAAGUUUUGUGGACAAUAAUGAACUGAAAGAAAUGUACAUGCAUGGCAGGAGGUUCACCUAGUCAAACGAGUGAGAUGUGCCAACCAUGACAAAGAUUGACCGUGUGCUAGCAUCAGUUGAUUGGGACUUGGAAUACCCUGACUGUCUGCUGCAAGCUUUGUCAUCCGGAGUAUCAGAUCAUGCACCCCUACACCUGAGUACCGGAGAUUUGGGCUGUCCUAAGAAACGAUUCAGAUUCGAAAACUUUUGGUUGAAGCUAAAGGGUUUUGAUGAUGCGGUGCAGGAGGCCUGGACCUGUAGUGAUCUGAUCAUGGACCCUUUCAAACGGCUUGAUGCACUAUUUAGAAAUGAAGUCGCCUCCUUACAAGCAUGGGGUCAGAGAACAAUGGGCAAUAUCAAGCUUCUGAUGGCAGUGGCAACUCUUGUUAUCUGA